GCAUGGGUUCGGGUUGAUGGCAGGUCCGAUCCCAUGGGCCUUUCACAGUGUCCUGUGCCUCAGCAAACUAACCCCAAACCAUUGCCUGGCUUUACCGUGGGCUUCAGGAACGGAAGCAGGUUGCAGAGUG
ensembl:snoRNA